AAUUUCCAAGUCCUCUUCAUCUUUA
rnacentral:sRNA from 1 species